rnacentral:rRNA from 1 species
UACGAAGGGGACUAGCGUUGUUCGGAUUUACUGGGCGUAAAGCGCGCGUAGGCGGAUCACUAAGUCAGGGGUGAAAUCCCGAGGCUUAACCUCGGAACUGCCUUUGAUACUGGAGAUCUGGAGAUCGGGAGAGGUUGUGGAAUUCCGAGUGUAGAGGUGAAAUUCGUAGAUAUUCGGAAGAACACCAGUGGCGAAGGCGGCUUACUGGUCCGGUUCUGACGCUGAGGCGCGAAAGCGUGGGAGCAAACAGG